UACGUAGGGGGCAAGCGUUGUCCGGAUUUAUUGGGCGUAAAGAGCGUGUAGGCGGCCAGGUAGGUCCGUUGUGAAAACUCGAGGCUCAACCUCGAGCUGUCGAUGGAAACCAUCUGGCUAGAGUCCGGAAGAGGAGAGUGGAAUUCCCGGUGUAGCGGUGAAAUGCGCAGAUAUCGGGAAGAACACCCGUGGCGAAGGCGGCUCUCUGGGACUGUACUGACGCUGAGACGCGAAAGCGUGGGGAGCGAACAGG
rnacentral:rRNA from 1 species